rnacentral:lncRNA from 1 species
CGUAUUACAGAAAGAAGAAGCGAAAUGAAGAAACAGAUCAAAAGGCAAAUGAGUCAACAGAGCUGGAGUUAGUCAACGGAAAGUGAAGACUCUUAUAGAUAAGGAGGUUGUUACGGUUACAACAAUAUGAGAGAUAAGAAGUAUAAAUAGAGUCUGUUGCCAUUUUACUUUCUCUCACGCGAAUUAUGAACUAGAUAAAUCAGAGCGUCAUGAGCUCGGUGAAGAUCGUCAUGAGAUCUUGAUCCAAUCGAGAUGAGAUUGUGAUCCUCUUGUUUGUAAUUCGCAUUUCUUCUCAAUAAAGGAUCUUCUUCUUCCUUCCUUCUCUCUACUUUCGAUAUCUUUACUCUAUCAUUGGUGCGGUGAAACUCGACGAAUCAAACGCGAUGUCGAACGGCGAAACGACGCCGAUACAUACAAUUGGGGACGAUUACAGCUCGGAACCUGCGACGGAGCUCAGAGAACGAGUAGAAGUGCUACAUGGAGGACUCAAGCGAUUAUGUGAAUCGAAAGUUCAGACGGAGACGCGAAUCUCCGAAAUGGACAAGAAAUUAAAUACGAUGAUGGCGAUGAUCGAAAAAUUGACACCAAGCUCGAGCAAUGGAGGUUCUCGAAACUCGGAUGACAUGAAUCCAGCUCAAACACAAUAUCAGGUACGAUCUAAUCAACUGGAACAAAACCGGAAUGAACAAUCGUUAGGUUAUCGAUCUGGGAAUUUGAAUGUUGCAAAUCGCGAUAGUAUGCUCAAAAAGAUUGAGAUGCCUAGUUUCGACGGAAAACAACCAUACGAAUGGAUUACAGAUGUAGAACACUUCUUCAUGGUUGGCCGUUAUACAGAAAAUGAGAAGUUGGAUUUGGUAGCACUGAGUCUUUCUGGUAAAGUGCGGAAAUGGUUUGGAUGGGAGAUACAGCGAAAUGGUUUUCGAGAUUGGAGAGAAUUUAAAGAAAAGCUGUUAGUGAGGUUUGCAGAAACGAUAGAAGAAGAACCAGAAACAAGACUGUUAUCACUCAAGCAAACGGGGUCAGUGAGCGACUAUGUCUCUGAAUUUGAGGAGUUAUCAUCGCUGGUUUCAGGACUAGAUGACAGAUAUCUGAUAAGAAUCUUCUACAAAGGAUUGAGUCCAGAGAUGCAAGAGGUUAUCAGAAUGAAAGAACCACAAGGAUUAAGGGUUCAUAUAUCAGCAGUGCUACGAAUGGAAACCAGUACAUUCUGUAAAGUGGUUGGUGAAUCUGGGAAAGAAGAAAUUCGUUUUCCAAGACAAGGUGGUCCAUUACGAAACUCUACGAACUACAACAGCUCGAGAAACAUUGUGUCGAGGGGGAACAACACGAACUGGACAGAGGCUCACAAGUCACACCAAACAGUUAAAGAAACAAACCAGUUGAAGGAGAAUACAACACAAGCGAGAAACGAUCUGAGACCUCGACAACGAUUUUCAGAUCUACAGCUGGAUGCAAUGAGGAAAGAGGGGUUAUGUUUUAAAUGUGGAGCAAAGUGGUCAAGAACUCAUGGAAGAGAAUGUCCGAUGAAAGAACUGAAAAUCUUAACGGUAAUAAAUGGAUACGACUUGGAAGUUCUGGCUAGUGAAGAUGAGGAAUACGAAGGAGAACAAGCUCUAGUAACUACUGAAUUCAUGGUGUUAUCUCUCAACUCAUUUUUGGGAAUGCACUCACCUAAAACGACUAAACUACAUGGUCGAAUAGGCAAACUUGAGGUGAUAGUCAUGCUCGAUAGUGGAGCAUCCCACAAUUUCAUAUCUCCAGAAAUUGUGAAGAAGUUGCGGUUGAAAGUUUGUGCAGACAGCAACUUAGAUGUGUUAUUAGGCAAUGGUGUAACUAUUAAAGGCAGCGGAAUAUGCCCAGCAGUGAUAUUUCAACUGUCUAACGAAAAUUUCACAUCUGACUUCAUCUCAUUGGAAUUGGGAAUGGUGGAUGUUAUUCUAGGAAUACAAUGGUUGGAGACUUUGGGCAAGUGUGAGAUCGAUUGGAAGAAGCAGGAACUCUCUUUUGUUCACCAAGGGAAAAUGGUAACACUAUGGGGUGAUCCAUCUCUACACUUCCCCAAACUAUCCUUUAAAUCAUUAUCCUAUACACAAAACACUGGAUUUCAAGGGAGGAGAAGUCUUGUAUUGUCCAGUGCGGAUGUGUCACCGAUUCCGUUUAAAAUUCCACCUGAGGUAACAGCCGUUUUGGAACAGUUUGAAGAAGUAUUUGCAGUUCCAAAAGGAUUACCUCCAGCACGUGGACACGAGCAUGCCAUUGUGCUACAACCAGGAGUUAAUGCGAUAUCAGUCCGACCUUAUCGUUACCCUCAUGCGAGUAAGGUAAUAAUGGAAAGUAUGGUAAACGACAUGCUCAAGUCGGGUAUCAUUAGACCAAGCACAAGCCCUUUCUCGAGUCCUGUUCUUUUGGUAAAGAAAAAGGAUGCUUCUUGGAGGUUUUGUGUUGAUUACAGAGCUCUAAAUAGGGUCACAGUGCCGGACAAGUUUCCCAUACCAGUAAUUGAUCAACUCCUGGACGAAUUGAAUGGUGCCACAGUGUUUUCCAAACUCGAUCUACGUUCAGGGUACCAUCAAAUUCUAAUGAAAGAACAAGACAUAGAAAAAACAGCGUUUCGAACAGUGGAAGGCCAUUACGAGUUUCUAGUUAUGCUUUUUGGCCUAACAAAUGCUCCAGCAACCUUCCAAGCACUCAUGAACACUGUCUUCAAACCGUUCUUGCGAGGAUUUGUUCUAGUGUUUUUUGACGACGUGUUGGUGUAUAGCAAGGAUGUUUCUCAACAUGUAGAACAUUUGGCAGCUGUAUUGAGAGUUUUUGCAAAACAGCAGCUAUUCGCCAACAAGAAAAAAUGUAUGUUUGGCUUACCUCAGGUAGAAUACCUUGGCCAUAUUAUAUCAAAAGAAGGAGUAGCAACUGAUUCCACAAAAACAGAAGCGAUGAAACGUUGGCCAACACCUAAGAACAUCAAGCAACUAAGAGGCUUUCUGGGAUUGACAGGGUAUUACCGGAAGUUUGUGAGAGGAUAUGGGGUAUUAGCAAAGCCAUUAACAGAACUAUUGAAGAAAGAUAACUUCCAGUGGUCACCAGAAGCACAAGAAGCAUUUAAUAAACUCAAAGAAGCGAUAAUCUCGGCUCCGGUAUUGGCACUACCAGAUUUUGAGAAAAUUUUUGUUGUAGAAUCGGAUGCUUCGGGUUUCGGUUUGGGAGCAGUUCUGAUGCAGGAUCGAAAACCUAUAGCUUUUUUCAGUCACGGUUUAACAACUCGAGAACAAAUGAAGCCGGCAUAUGAACGAGAAUUGAUGGCAAUCGUAAUGGCAGUGCAGAAAUGGAAACAUUACUUGUUGGGCCGAAAAUUUGUGGUUCAUACUGAUCAGAGAAGCUUGAAGUUUUUGUUAGAACAGAAGGAGGUGAAUAUGGAGUAUCAAAGAUGGUUAACAAGGCUAUUGGGGUUUGAUUUCGACAUUUUUUACAAGCCAGGGUGUGAGAACAAAGCAGCUGACGGAUUAUCUAAAAUGCUACCAGCUGAAUUGGGUUCGUUGAACACAGUUUUAUUGACUCUAGCAGUUCCUUCAGUGUUACAGCUACAAGAUUUGUAUAAGGAAAUUGAGGAAGAUCAAACACUUCGGGAAUUAGCAGAAAAAAUUCAACGAGGUCAGAAUAAGAUUCAAGGUUAUGAAGUGCUGAAUGGUCACGUGUGGUACAGAAGGCGUUUGAUGAUUCCACAACAGUCAGUAUUCAUUCCGAUAAUUUUGCGGGAAUACCACGAUGGUAAGCUUGGUGGACAUUCAGGGGUCCUAAAAACAGUGAAGAGGAUACAACAGGUGUUCUAUUGGACUGGAAUGUUCAAGACGAUUCAGAAAUACGUUGCAGAGUGUGAAAUUUGUCAACAACAUAAGUACUCAACACUGACACCAGCCGGACUAUUGCAACCUCUACCUAUACCUACUCAAAUAUGGGAAGACAUAUGUAUGGACUUUGUAGAAGGGUUGCCAACAUCGCAGGGAUUUAACGUGGUCUUGGUGGUAAUAGACAGGCUGAGUAAAUACGCACAUUUUGUGGGUCUCCGCCAUCCGUUUACAGCCGUAGAUGUGGCACAGAAACUUUUGUCAGAAAUUGUGAAGUUACAUGGGUUUCCGAAGUCGAUAAUCUCCGACAGAGAUCGCAUAUUUCUGAGUGCGUUUUGGAAGGAUAUGUUUAAGCUGUCAGGUACUAAACUGAACUAUAGUACCGCGUUCCAUCCUCAAACGGACGGACAAACGGAGGUCCUAAACCGAUGUCUGGAAACGUACCUUCGGUGUUUUGCUUCAGGACACCCGAAAACGUGGCACAAGUUCUUGACUUGGGCAGAACUGUGGUACAACACGACGUAUCACACAUCACUACAGACCACUCCAUUCAAAGUUGUGUACGGAAGAGAUCCUCCAGCUCUAGUUCGUUAUGAGAAAGGAUCAACAACAAACUGUGAACUGGAGCAAAUGCUAAAAGAAAGGGACGAGAUGUUGAGCUUAAUAAAGAUGCAGUUGGAGAAAGCACAACAUCUGAUGAGGAAAAAUGCAGAUAAACACCGAAGAGAGGCCCAAUUUGAAGUAGGAGACAAGGUGUAUUUGAAGCUUAAACCAUAUAGACAACAAACGGUGGUUCGGAGAUUCUGUCAAAAGCUAUCCGCAAGAUAUUUUGGCCCUUAUGAAAUUCUGGAAAGAAUUGGCAAGGUAGCUUAUCGUCUCCAACUACCUAAAGAGUCUAAAGUGCAUGACGUCUUCCAUAUUUCUCAGUUAAAACUGGCAUUGGGAAAGAAUCAUCAGGUGCAACCAUUACCUCCAACGAUGACUGAUAUAAUGGAACAAGAGUGGGAACCAGAGGCUAUUUUGGAUAAGCGUUUCUCACCUUCUGGUGUAGUUGAAGUCCUGGUGAAAUGGGAAGGGAAACCAGACUAUUAGAACACGUGGGUUCCUACGAAAGUGUUAUUAACACAGUUUCCUUAUCACAAGCUUGAGGGCAAGCUUGAUUUCGUUGGGGGGAGUAUUGAUAAGAAGAUACACAACACGUAUUACAGAAAGAAGAAGCGAAAUGAAGAAACAGAUCAAAAGGCAAAUGAGUCAACAGAGCUGGAGUUAGUCAACGGAAAGUGAAGACUCUUAUAGAUAAGGAGGUUGUUACGGUUACAACAAUAUGAGAGAUAAGAAGUAUAAAUAGAGUCUGUUGCCAUUUUACUUUCUCUCACGCGAAUUAUGAACUAGAUAAAUCAGAGCGUCAUGAGCUCGGUGAAGAUCGUCAUGAGAUCUUGAUCCAAUCGAGAUGAGAUUGUGAUCCUCUUGUUUGUAAUUCGCAUUUCUUCUCAAUAAAGGAUCUUCUUCUUCCUUCCUUCUCUCUACUUUCGAUAUCUUUACUCUAUCACAGAUAC